GACGAACGCUGGCGGCGUGCUUAACACAUGCAAGUCGAACGGAAAGGCCCUGCUCUUGUUGGUUGCUCGAUUGGCGAACGGGUGAGUAACACGUGAGUAACCUGCCCUUAACUUUGUGAUAACUUCAGGGAACUGGGGCUAUUACCCGGUAUGAGCUCCUGCUCCAUGUUGGGGGUUGGACAGAUUCGACGGUUGUGGAUGGACUCGCGGCUUAUCAGCUUGUUGGUGGGGUAGUGGCUUACCAAGGCUGUGACGGGUAGCCUGCCUGAGAGGGUGACCGGCAACAUUAGGACUGAGAUACGCCUCAGACUCCUACGGGAGGCAGUAGUGGGGAAUAUUGCACAAUGAGCCGAAGCCUGAUGCAGCAACGCCGCGAGCGUGAUGACGGCCUUCGGGUUGUAAACCGCUUUCGCAUGUGACGAAGCGUGAGUGACGGUAAUGGGUAAAGAAGCACCGGCUAACUACGUG
rnacentral:rRNA from 1 species